CCUACGGGGGGCUGCAGUGGGGGAUAUUGCACAAUGGGGGGAACCCUGAUGCAGCGACGCCGCGUGGGUGAAGAAGCGCCUCGGCGCGUAAAGCCCUGUCAGCAGGGAAGAAAAUGACGGUACCUGAAGAAGAAGCCCCGGCUAACUACGUGCCAGCAGCCGCGGUAAUACGUCGGGGGCAAGCGUUAUCCGGCGUUACUGGGUGUAACGGGGGCGCAGACGGCGAUGCAAGCCAGGAGUGAAAGCCCGGGGCCCAACCCCGGGACUGCUCGUGGAACUGCGUGGCUGGAGUGCAGGAGGGGCAGGCGGAAGUCCUGGUGUAGCGGUGAAAUGCGGAGAUAUCAGGAGGAACACCGGUGGCGAAGGCGGCCUGCUGGACUGCAACUGACGUUGAGGCCCGAAAGCGUGGGGAGCAAACAGGAUUAGAUACCCUAGUAGUC
rnacentral:rRNA from 1 species